rnacentral:lncRNA from 1 species
UGGAGACUAUGGGCAGACAAGUGAAGCAAGGGAAGACCAAUUCUGACCAAGUGGAUAGCAGAAGUGUAGAACAGAAAAAUAUGGAAAUAUCGGACAUGUGCUAAUAGGCUCAUCAGCUUAGGGUCAUAACAGGCUUCCUUCCGAUACAACUAGUUUAUAAUGGAUUGUUUUCAUAAAAAAGUGCAAGGUUGAAUAGAAGGUAAAACAGUUUGUGAACAAGCUGAAGUGGUAUUGAAGCCCACCAUAGCUUGUAAUCGUUUUCUUCUAAUGAUUGUGUCAUAUGCAGCUUUGAAAAUCACAAUGUGCCGAUACGGCGUGCAAUCGGAUGAGAGGAAGACACUGGUAUCUGGACAACUUAGAAGAUGACAAAAUCUAUCAGAGCUAGGGGAUGAAGAGUUUUUAAGACAGUUCUCAUUUUAUUUAUGAUAAUCAAAUAUUUAUGAUUUAUCAAUAUUUGAUAUACUUAUUAUGUUAGACACGAUAUGUAUUUACCUAUUUACAUAUUUUACCUGAAUAUGUUAUAUGCCUAUUUUGUGAUAAUUUGUGAUUUUCAUAUUUUUGAAUAUAGUUUAGUGAAUUUUAA